GCGCCCGUAGUUCAGUUGGAUAGAAUAUCGGUCUCCGACACCGAAGGUCACAGGUUCGACUCCUGUCGGGCGCGCCA
rnacentral:tRNA from 1 species